rnacentral:tRNA from 1 species
GCCCUUCUAGCUUAGUCGGUAGACCACAAGGCUCUUAACCUUCUGGUCUUGGGUUUGAGCCCAAGGUGGGCG